GUCGCCCUCCUCCCAGCUACCACGUGCCUGUCCCCCCCUCCCAGGCUAAAGGUAAGAGGGAGGGGGGGAUUUAAUACCUACUUAGUUUUUUUUUUUAAUUUCUUUAUUUACCCCCCCCCAUAGUUUUUUAUUUGUUUAUUUACCCCCCCACACACACACACACAUUUAUACACAGCACUCUCACACAUCACACUCUGCACUCUCACACACAUCAUACACAGCACUCUCACACUCUGCACUCUCACACACAUCACACUCUGCACUCUCACACACAUCAUACACAGCACUCUCACACACAUCACACUCUGCACUCUCACACAUAACACACACAGCACUCUCACACACAACACAGACAGCACUCACACACAACACAGACAGCACUCACACACAACACACACAGCACUCUCACACAGCACUCUCACACACAUACACAGCACUAUCACACACAACACUCUCACACACAGCACUCAGCACUCUCACACAUCACUCUCAAACACAUAACACUCGGCACUCACACCCAGCACUCACAACACUCUCACACACAUCAUACACAGCACCCACACACACAGCACCCUCACACAAAUCAAUCACAUACAGCACCCACACAUACAGCACCAUCACACACAUCAUACACAUCACUCUCACACACAUCAUACACAGCACUCUCACACUCUGCACUCUCACACACAUCACACUCUGCACUCUCACACACAACACACACAGCACUCUCACACACAACAAACACACACACAGCACCUCACACACAUACACAGCACUAUCACACACACAGCACUCAGCACUCUCACACAUCACUCUCAAACACAUAACACUCAGCACUCACACUCAGCACUCACAACACUCUCACACACAUCAUACACAGCACCCACACACACACAGCACCCUCACACAAAUCAAUCACAUACAGCACCCACACAUACAGCACCCUCACACACAUCAUACACAUCACUCUCAUACACAGCACUCUCACACUCUGCACUCUCACACACAUCACACUCUGCACUCUCACACACAUCACACUCUGCACUCUCACACACAACACACUCUGCACUCUCACACACAACACACACAACACACACAGCACUCUCACACACAUACACAGCACUAUCACACACAACACUCUCACACACAGCACUCAGCACUCUCACACAUCACUCUCAAACACAUAACACUCAGCACUCACACUCAGCACUCACAACACUCUCACACACAUCAUACACAGCACCCACACACACAGCACCCUCACACAAAUCAAUCACAUACAGCUCCCACACAUACAGCACCCUCACACACACAACUCCCUCACACAGCACCCACACCUCACACACAGGAUCCAUCACACACACAUACUGCACCCCUCACAUACACACACAACCCCCCGAUACACUGCAUCACACACAUACACAAUACUUCCAAACAUAUUUAUAUAAUAUAUAUACACAUAUAAAUAUACACACAGCACCCCUCACACACACACAGCACCCCUAAACACAUUUCAUUCCAGACACACACUAGAUCCUCUACCCAACUCUGGAUCAUCUACACACAUACACACACUAGAUCCCUAUAUACACUCUGAAUCCAUUAUAUACGCACGCUCACUAGAUCUCCUAUACAUAUUCUGGGUCCUUCAAACACACACACACUCUGGAUCCCCUAUACGCACACUAGAUUCCUUAUAAGCAAACACAUACUACAUUCCCUGAACACACACUCUACAAACACUACAUCACCUACACACACACACUAUAGCCUGUAUACACACACUUGCUACAUCCCCUAAACACACAUUCUCUAAAGCCCCUAGCCACAUAUGCAUUACAUUACACCACAAACACAACACGACUAAAACCGACCUUAUUACACAAUACCACACCACGACCAGCUCACUCUGCACACACGCAAUACCCCAAGCAGGCUCCAAACACAUGCACAAUACUCUUUCCUGGCCCUUUUGUCUCCUGGUAUCCAUUUAUAGAGACACCAGAGACAAGUUGCAAGGAAACACAGUGCAAGCAUGUUAUUAAAUUUGCUUGCACUGUGCAGAACAAAUACAGGGCUUUUUUCUCAUGCUAGAGCUCUUCAGCAGAGCUCUGUGCAUGGUCUGCCCUGGAAGAGCAUUGAACCAACAUGCUCACUUUGAGAGGGGGCGUGUUUGUCAUGAGUGAUGACAAAACACACCCUCUCUGCCCCGCCCCCUUCUUAGUGGGCCGCUGUGAUAAAAAAAUGCCCAGGCCGAAUUUUUUUCCCAGUCCGGCCCUGAGAGAAUCCAUCUACUUUCCUGACCCUAAAUACGGGAGAAAUGCCUGAAUGUCGAGUUCUCUACCCCCCUCACCUUGAUAUCAAUAUCUUACAUACUACACCAUAUUUUUUUUAUUUAUUUACAGAAUACAUUGUAUUGUUGUCUCAGGUUGUAUAAUAAUCCUAUUAUUCACCUAUUUGGUGUUUGGUUAUACACAACCUUUAUCUAUUAAUUUUAUUUAAUUUGGUACCCUUUUUGGUUUUUCUUUUUUGCCCUUACUAAUCUCAAGUGUCUUGAUAGGGAACACUUUUCCUUAAAGGGUCUCUUUGUAUUUUGGGAGCGUAUAGUGAACCAUUCUUGUGUACUAUCAAAAAGAGAGUACUAAUCCACACUCUUUUAAUUAAUAUUGCUUUCUUUAAAUUUAAAUUUUGAAAAUGUCUUUUUGUUUUAUAUCUCUAGUUUGAUAUAUUGAUAUAGAUCAGUUAAGUACCUAAGGGUUAAAAGAAAUAUCAGCGACUACAAAGUAACGCGCUCUCUUACCACUGGCCAGUAUGAUAACAAGCUUGGCCAAUCACCUACGAGAUGUAGAUUUAAAGGGACACUGUAGGCACUGUAUCUGCUUCAUUUCAUUAAACUGAUUAUAGUGUCCAGAGUUUCCAAGUUCCAUAAUUUCAUUCAGCAUUAAACAGUUUUUCAUAUUUUUAUGUUUCAAUGCUAAAUGAGAGUGCCCAGCAGCCCCUCCCCUCUGUGCUCCUUUGGCAAAUGAGGAACUACUAGCAUGAGCAACAAUGGGCAGCUAUGAUUGGCUGAGAGUGUCAGCUGUCUGUUUUUAGCCUAUCAGAGCUCCAACUAACGGGAUGAAGGGUAUAACUUCAAGGAAGUGUGUAAUCUCUGCCUUCGCCACACCUCCAGAAGAGGCCGGACUGUGGGUGGCCUCGAUCCCUUAUUUAGUGUUAAACUGCUAUAAAAUGGUUUAACAUUGUAUGGAGAGACAGUGCCAGGAGAUUCCAGGCAUCAUAACCAAUUCAAAGAGAUGAAAUGAUUAUAGUGAGUACAGUUUCCAUUUAAAUAUCGAUACUUACCUGCAUCUGGUUCCCCUCUGAUGAGCUACUCUGGCGAAACGCAUGUGUCAGGGGCUUAGGACGCCUACUUGGCAUACCUGAGGUGUCAGUACUCACUGCUACGAAUCUCACAUCGGCGAAACUUCCACUCCGAGAAUAGGCAUCCUUUGGCUUUACGUUUAGUCCUUGUUACAAUUUUGUUAUUCUGAUUUCUAUACUUGUAGCAGUAGCGGAUGCCUUAGUGUCAGAGCAGGCUUUUUUAAGGGGUGCCCACAAAGGCACAUUAGACUCUCACUGUAAUAGGAGUUAGUCUAACAGCACAUCCUUUCUACCUCUCUUUUUGCUACUCGCAAUAGCCUUAACUCUGACUCCAGUUUAACAGUGUGUAAAUAAUAGUAUAUUUGUUCGUUCAAAAUCAAUUUUGGAAAUAUUCACUCUUACCUUGCUGCCACAUUACCUAGUAUUAGAUACAAGAAGGACUGAACACCAAGCUUUAUUUGAUUUUAUCUUAUCCUCAAUCUUACUAAAUUAUAUUAAUAGGUAAGUUUUAACCUUGGCACUAAUUCUAAUAACUCUCAAUUAAGAUACACCUGCUGGUAGAUUUAGUUUUUUUCCUUUUCUUAAUUCCAAUCAUUAAGAUAUAAAUUAGAGCGCUAAUUGACUUAUUCUAAGUACAUCCGUUACUGAUAUUACCUAAUGUCAGAGCUACAAGAGCCAUGCAUUGCCAGGAGACCCACAAAGUAUUAUGGGAGAUGGAGUUAAAAAGUUCUAAAAGAAUAACUGAUACUCAUGAGUUCAAAGGCUAUAGGGCUAUCUUCAUUUUAUUAUGUUUUAAUGGCAUCAAGCCUCUUAACAUACCCCAUGUAUUUAAUGAAAAACAUGCAAUAUAAUAUUGCUAUCAGCUACCAGCAGUACAGGGAGACUGGGACAUAUUGAUAUUAAACAGUACCUCCACCCAGUGAUCAACAUGAACUGGGAUAUACCUUCCUUGCACUGGGACAUGAAAGAGUCAGAACCUAGAAAAAAAAAAGUGGCCAGCCAGCCAGGUCUUGAGCCCCCCAAGACACGAGGCAAACAAGGGACCUGCCUGAAUGUUUGGGGUGGCCCCUGCAAAAUGCCGCCCAAUGCAGAUGCCUUGUUUGCCUCGUGGAAGAUUCAUCCCUGUAUAUAGCGCCAACUAAUUCUGCAGCAUUUUACAAUAUAAUGAAAAGGGAAAAUUACAAUAAAUUAGACAAUUACACAAUGACACAGGAACAAAAGGCAGAUGAGGGCCCUGCACAAACAAGCUUACAGUCUAGAGGUAGAACAAUGGUGAUUAAACAUACACAAUUGAGAUUACCACUCCCAGAUAAUACAGCACCCCAUAUACCCCACCCCAGAUAAUCCAGCACUCUGUACUCCCACUCCCAGAUAAUACAGCAUACUAUAUCUCCCAAGCCAGAUGUAACGGAACGCCUGGCACCCCGACUGGGUACCUUCCGUUGACGGAUGCUCCUAGUGCUUCCCGAGGGCUCCAAGCACACCACAAGACACCAUAACCACCGCAGAUCCCACGAACCACCGCAGCUUGGUUGGGGUCUCGCCGUCUUCCACCCACUCUGGACCCAAGACUAGGGUCCAGCUUCCAGUAGGUAGAAUUCUCCUAAAUCCAGAGAGCAGGAACAGGAACAAGCUCUUACCAGAGCUUAGUGAUUAUACCCUAGGGAGUAUAGUGAUUAUAGCAAUCCCCAGAGUGUAGUUCUCCAAUCCCCCAAACAUGAGCCGAAACUUCAUGAAGGUACAAUAUGAUCUGUUUAAUGGUGGCCACAGCUUGGCUUUUUAUGCAGGUCCUCCAGGUACUCCCACAGGGACCUUGUGGAGGACUGGAAUACAAUUACAGUAGCCAAUCAAAAUACAAUACAAUGUGAAACACUCCCACAGAAACAGUAAAAUCCCUUCUCUCUAUCCUGGAGAUAAUUGGGUUAAGUGGCCGUAGUAAACUUAAUUAUCUCCAGGUACAGAAAAUAUUUCCAAUUUAUAACUGUAACAAAACACAUUAAAAUACAUAACUCAUAUUUCACAUAACUGGACCCCCACAUUCGACAUAUCUCCAGAUAGCUUGUAUCUGAGCGCUCAAUAUAUAUCCGAACAGCACUCAGAUCCCAUGAACAUAGUCGAAUCGCCAUGGAGUUAAAGAGUUUUCACCCAUCGUUCGGCAGAAUCUGCCUGGAAUUAGUUCCAUGGCUUUUAGUCCUCAGGGUCGGUCUAGUUUGUGAGUUAUUAAUGUACCGAACGACGUGGUCUUUGUAUAAACAGAAACGACGGAAUGGAAGUUUGGCGGUCCCAGGGGUGUUCGUGUGAAACAGUGACCGAAAACAGUUCCAUGCGGUCAACGACAAAACACCGCUGGGGGAUCGGCAGUUUAAGAUGGCCGCCGCCACAUGUUCAUUAAUAUGAACGGCGACCCCCCAGCCGUUCGUCAAUUAGCUGCUUUUAACCACAGCUUCUGGGAUGUUAACAAGCUGCACACUCCCAUUGCGUGUAUCUGGCUGUUCAUUAGUUUGUUCGUAUAAACGAACACCAUAGGCACAAUCCACUCGGUAGUCCCAUAUACGGAACUGUGGAAGGAAAAGGGCACGAACAAAAGCCUUUCUCCAGUCCUGCAUCCCGGUCUUAUACAUGGGCCAUAGUUCUGGGACAAGAGGCUGGCCUCUCGAAACCCCGGUGACUUCCGUGCUUUUGUCACACCGGAUAAUAAAGUACCCCAUAUCUCCCCAUUCCCAGAUAAUACAGCAUACUAUAUCCCCCACCCCACAUAAUACAACAAUUGUUAUCCCUCACCCCGGAUAAUAGAGCACCCUGUACUCUCACUACCAGAAAAUACAGCACCCUAUAUCUCCCCAUUCCGAGAUAAUAAAGUACCAUAUAUCUCCCCAUUCCCAGAUAAUACAGCACUCUAUGCUCCCACCCCAGAUAAUAUAGCACCCUAUAUCCCCACCCCAGAUAAUACAACAGCCUAUAUCCCACCACCCCAGAAAAUACAGCACCCUAUAUCCCCCACCCCAGAUAAUACAGCAGCCUAUAUUCCCCCACCCCAGGUAAAACAGCACUCUGUAUCCCCCACCCCAGAUAAUACAGCAGCCUAUAUCCCCCCACCCCAGAUAAUACAGCACUCUGUAUCCCCCACCCCAGAUAAUACAGCACCCGAUAUCCCCCACCCCAGAUAAUACAGCACCCUAUAUUCCCCACCCCAGAUAAUACAACACCCUAUAUUCCCCAUCCCAGAUAAUACAGCACUCUAUAUACCCCACCACAGAUAAUACAGCUCCCUAUAUCUUCCAUCCCAGAUAAUAGACCACUCUAUAUCCCUCCACCCCAGAUAAUAGAGCACUCUAUAUCUCCCACCCCAUAUAAUACAGCACCCUAUAUCCCACCAUCCCAGAUAAUACUGCACUCUGUAUCCCCCACCCCAGAUAAUACAGCACCCUUUAUCCCCCCACCCCAGAUAAUACAGUGCCCUAUAGCCUCCAACCCAGAUAAUACAGCACUAUAUCUCCAACCAUCCCAGAUAAUACAGCACCCUAUAUCCCCCAACCCAGAUAAUACAGCGCCCUAUAUCCCCAGCCCAGAUAAUACAGCAUCCUAUAUGUCCCCACCCCAGAUAAUACAGCACCCUAUAUCUCCCCAGCCCAGAUAAUACAGCACCCUAUAUCUUCCCACCCAGAUAAUACAGUAAAGUAGGGCGUUGUGGAUAUUUUAUUAUUUAUGUACUUAUUAAAAUCUUUAAAAUGAGCACUAUUCCUGCUGUAUUGAAAGGGCAGCUUAAUGCCUCUCUAAUUGGCAGUUAAAUUAUCUUAAAAAGUUGAAGAUGGGGGGCUGAGCUAAGACAAGGACCUGAAUGGCCGCAUGUACUCGGAGCUCCAGACCAAACAAUAUUUCUAAACCCUCUAACGUGGCCCAAUCUCCCCACAUACGGCACCAAACCGAAAAUCUAGCCAUAAUUAAAGACAUGAGCGGAAUAACUAAAAAGGCAAAGCCCGACACCACUCGGCAGUCCGCGACCUGCAACAGCAGACCCACAAGAUGUACCUAAGGUUUGCAGAAAUAGAGGAUCAGAGGCGUAGCCUGAAUCUCAAGAUCCGGGGCAUCGGUUAAGAGAUACCAGAGGCGGAGGUACCGCAUUUUAUCUGGCGCCUGCUCUCUGCUCUCCUGCCCCCUCGACAGGCCAAGCAAGCAGUUUUGGGAGAGAUGUCCCACCUUCCAAGACCAACUAAGGCCAAGAGAUCUCCUGGUACGCUUCCUGAAUCACGGAGACAGAACAGCGGUCCUCCAAGCAACUAGAAACCAAUUGCCAAAUAUGUUUGAAGGCAAGCAACUCUCAAUAUAUGCAGAAUUAUCAAGGCCGACUCUGGCAUGGCGCUGCACGAUUAAACCCUUCACGGCUCUACCCCGUCUGCACAAGAUCAAAUACCAGUGGAGGCCUAAUCCUGAUCCAACACGGCGACACAGAAUACAAGGUUCAAGAGAUGCAAAGCGCCACAGAGCUCCUGCCUACCCUGGGGUUACAACUGGACUCCAUGUCAAUCGCGGCACCAAACCACCCAGAGGCACCGCUAACUACGAAGGACCCGGCGAAAGAGACACAGUUCAUCCCCCGACAGGCAGGAACGGAGCCCCCACAGAGACCACUACCUGAACGAUCCAGGGACUGACAUACACCUCCCAACAGACCUUGUGCUAAAUGAGCAUGCCGUACACGGAGACCGGGACUGGAAUUCCCUCCAAUGUUUUUGUUUGCAAACGUUAUGGUUAACUGCAUUACUGAGUUGCUCCCAUCUGCACCCCCAGCCCCCCCAGGGUUAAGGGACAUAUUUACCUACAAAGUGGGAGCUUAAAACCUAAAUUCCCACACGGCAUUGAAAGUGCUCCACACACAAUCUUGUAUGACCAUCUGAUUAUAAUCCACUCACCAGCACACUCAGCAUAAAAGCCUCUUAUCAACGUUAGACCCAUCGGCUAUAAGGCCAUACUCCUUGGCACUAUAGGCUUCUGUUCCAACGCCAACCCCCACUACCCAAAAUUUCCUCAGCUCACGGCCCAAAGCCACUCUUAGCUAGACACCCUGUCUGUUAAGCCCUACCGCAUGUGAUUGUUGUCUUGCAUAAGAUGUUUUUCUUUUCUCUUCUGUAAUAAUUCUAUUGAGCCUCUCACCAGAGUAAAAAAAAAAGAAUACAAAAAAAAAAAGAUGAAGAUGUUGCUAACAAUGCAAGCAUUUUUUAAAAGUGAUUUAUUGUGAUGAUUUUAGUAACUUCAGUAUCUCACUAGCAUUUACUCUGUCAGUCUGGGUAUAUUCCAAAAUGUAUUUAUUAAUUGAGUAAACCAUGGAUUUAGUAUAUAUAAUUCCUGGGGCAAGCUCUCAUUUUCGGAUGCAAUGUAGGUGCUGUCUCCAGUUUCCACCUAUAAAAAAAAUGGAGGGAAAAAACAUUAUAUUUCCAGAUUAUGUUUCAUUAUGCAGAACAACUGAUAUAUUGAAAUAACAAUAUAUUUAAAUGACCUCUAAAGGCACCCAGAUUUCGCCAUGUUAAUUAGAUGGUGUGUGUGACGUAGCUCUUUAGUUUUAACUUUGCAAUCUAAAACAUUGCAGUUUAGUAUAAACUUUGCAAUGUUAUGAUUGUAGAGUUAACACACCUUUGGUCACUUCCUUUGUGAGAACUCAUUCAGACUCGGUUUUUAUAGUAAGCAUGUGAAUUGAUACACAUAUGUACUAGCCUCCUCAUUGCUCCUGUAAGGGGCAGCAUUGGACUGGCUGAGAUCAUCAAACUUCAUGAUCCUAUCCAGGGAGGCAGGGAGUCAGGGCAAACCAAGGAAUCGGGAGUAAAGGUAAGUAAGUAUUUUUAAAACCCUUAUGGGGUUGAUGGGCAUUAGGCGGGCGGUGAACAGCAAAACAGAUUGGGUAAAACAAUAUCAUUAGGCAUGUUUAUAUUCCUUUUACAUUUAUAAUUUUUAAAAUGAGAAAGACAUACUAAGUAAAACAUAACAAAAUAUAUUUUAAGUUACCUUAACCUAUCACUGACCACGGACAUAUCAGGUACGUCCGACAAAAAACGUUCCUUAAGGGCCGCGGACGUACCUGAUACGUCCGCAGCGAAUUAGAGCGCUGGAAGCAAUCAUGAUGGCUUCCAGCCGCUCUGAUGGUAUUGCAGCGAUGUUGAGGCAUCUUGCAAUACCCCCAUUCACUACCAUUCACUCUGUCACUAGUCACCCCCUCACUCCCUCACUCUGCCACUAGUCACCCCCUCCCUCCCUCACUCACUCUGUCACUAGUCACCCCUCCCUCACUUUGCCAUUAAUCAACCCAUCCUUCACUCUCACUAGUCACCCCCAUCCCUCACUCUGCCACUAGUCAGCCCAUCCCUCACUCUCACUAGUCACCCCUCACUCUGUCACUAGUCACCCCCUCGCUCUGUCACUAGUCACCCCUCCCUCCUUCCCUCACUCUGUACCCAGUCAUCCCCUCCCUCCCUCACUCUGUCACCAGUCACCCCCUCACUCUGUCACCAGUCACUCCCCCUUCCUUGUAAACAAACACAUACUACACCCCUAAACACACACUCUCUACAACCCCUACAAACACUACAUCACCUAUAUAUACACACACACACUAUAGCCUGUAUGCACACACUUACUACAUCCCCUAUACACACAUUCUCUACAGCCCCUAGCCACAUAUGCAUUACAUUACACCAAAAACACAACACGACCUUAUUACACAAUACCACACCACAAUCAGCUCACUCUACACACAUGUAAGUUUCACAAGCAGACUCCAAACACAUGCACAAUACUCUUUCCUGGCCCUUUUGUCUCCUGGUAUCCAUUUAUAGAGACACCAGAGACAAGUUGCAAGGAAACACUGUGCAAGCAUGUUAUUAAAUUUGCUUGCACUGUGCAGAACAAAUACAGGACUUUUUUUCUCAUGCUAGAGCUCUUUAGCAGAGCUGUGCGCAUGGUCUGUCCUGGAAGAACAUUGAACCAACAUGUUCACUUUGAGAGGGGGCGUGUUUGUCAUUGGUGAUGACGAAACACACCCUCUCUGCCCCACCCUCUUCUUAGUGGGCUGCUGUGCUAAAAAAUGUCAGGGCCGAAUUUUUCUCCCAGUCCGGCCCUGACCCCCUCACUCUGUCACCAGUCACCCCCUCCCUCACUCUGUCACUAGUCACCCACUCCCUCCCUCACUUUGUCACCAGUCAACCCCUCCCUCAUUCUGUCACUAGUCACUCCCUCCCCCCCCUCUGCAACUAGUCAUCCCCUCCCUCCCUCUGUCACUUGUCACCCCCUCCCUCACUCUGUCACCAGUCACCCCCCCUCACUGUGUCCCCCCCUCACUCUGCCACUGCUCACCCCCUCCCUCCCUCUGCCACCAGGUUCCCCCUCACUCUGCCACCUGUCACCCCCUCCCUCACACAUUCUGUCACCUGUCACCCCCCUUGGACAAGUAGAUGAUUUUUUUUUUUAAUAUUCCACACCCCUGCACAUGCAGACACACACCAACGCUCAAUACACAUAUGCAUUCACGCUGACACUAUAUACAAAAAAGCACAUGUAGUCAUCCAGAUAUGCACAAGUGCAUUCACACAGACUCAAAUACAAACAUGCAUUGAUACACAGGUAUUCACAAUAUACACAUCCAAAGGAAUGCCGUAUUAUAUGAGAGUUAUAUUUCACAUUUAUUUAAUGCACAUAUAUUUGGCCUUCAAAGGGCUUGGGAUCUAUUUUUGCCCAGGGGCCCCAAAGGCCCUCAGUCCGACCCUGGGGGGACCUAUUGUCCUCCCCCAGCCCCCACCCAUGAGCGGCAGGUGGGAACCCUAAAAGACCUAUUGUCCCACUCGGCCCCCACCCAUGAGCGGCAGGUGGGGGCCCUAAAUUAGAAUGGGGGGGACUUAUUAUCCUCCUCCCUGGCCCCACCCAUGAGCAGCGGGUGGGGCCAUAAAUAAAAAUUGCGGGGGACCUAUUGUCCUCACCCCUGGCCCCCACUAAUAAGUGGUGGGUGGGGGCCCUAAAUGACAAUGGGUGGGACCUAUUGUGCUCCCGCCGGCCCCCACCCAUGGGAAACAGGUGGGGGCCCUAAAUGAAAAUGUGGGGACCUAUUGUCCUCCCGCCUGGCCCCCACCCAUAAGCCACAGAUGGGGACCCUAAAUGAAAAUGGGGGGACCUAUUUCCUCCCCCCUGGCCACACCCAUGGAGGAUGGGUGGGGGCUAAAUGUAAAUAAAGCCCUACCUACCCCCCUCACCAUAAAAAUAGUGAGGGGGGAGACAAUAAAACUAAAUAACUGUAAAUACAUUUUUUUUUAAAAAAUACCAUUUGAUGUCUUCUUUUUUCUAAAACCCUUUUGCAGCCCCAAAGAAGGCCAAAUAAAAAUCCACAAUACCCGUUUGACUUAUAAAAUAAAAUAAAAAAACCAGAGCGCAAAAAAAAAAACAAGCUGAGGGGAAGGACAGUAGCCCCCCCACCCCCCAAUUUUCAUUUAGGGAUUGGGACCAGCCCCCCAAAUUCAUUUCACAUGGGUGGGGGUCAGGGGAGAGGACAUUAGGUCUCCCCCCCCCCCUUAUUGUAAUUUAGGGAAUUAUGUAAACUCAGUAACUGAUAUUACCUGGUGCCAUAGUUACAAGAGCCAUGCAUUGCCAGGAGACUCGCUAAGUAUUAUGGGAGAUGAAGUUAAAUAGUUCUAUAAUAAUAGCUGUCGCUCUGGAGUUCAAAGGCUCUAAGGCUAUCUUCAUUUUAUUACGAUUUAUUGGCAUCAAACCUCUGAACAUAUUCCAUGUAUUUAAUGAAUAACAGGAAAUAAAAUUCUGCUAUCAGCAAGACAUAACAGAACCUUACACAUGGCAGUCAUAUCAGAUCAUAUUUACCAUCAUCUUCUUGGCCAGUAACUCAGGUACACAAGAUGGAUGUUGAGUCCUUCAUGGAAAAAGCAACUUCCCCGCAAGAAAGGAGCAUAUCAGAGCCUGGAGAAGGUGUCCUGGAGAGAGUGUCACUGCUCCAGAAUAGGGGACAAUCAUAUUCACUUCCUCUGCCUGCUCUCCUUCAUCUUCUGCGGAGAAGACUUCGAUCAUUGAUUCCCCCGCUGCAAAGAAAUAAUAUUUCAACAUAGUAUGAGGCUAUCUCUCCUACAAUAUAAUAUCUGAUAUAAGAUCUGCACAUUAGUGAGAUCUCGCUAUCUCUCCUAUGAUAUAAGAUCUGCACAUUAGGGAGAAGAUCUCGCUAUCUCUCCUAUAAUAUAAUAUCUGCGCAUUAGUGAGAUCUCCCUAUCUCUCCUAUAAGAUCUGCACAUUACUGAGAAGAUCCCACUAUCUCUCCUAUGAUAUAAGAUCUGCACAUUAGUGAGAUCUCGCUAUCUCUCCUAUGAUAUAAGAUCUGCACAUUAGUGAGAAGAUCUCGCUAUCUCUCCUAUGAUAUAAGAUCUGCACAUUAGUGAGAAGAUCUUGCUAUCUCUCCUAUAAUAUAAUAUCUGCACAUUAGUGAGAAGAUCCCGCUAUCUCUCCUAUGAUAUAAGAUCUGCACAUUAGUGAAAAGACCCCGCUAUCUCUCCUAUAAUAUAAGAUCUGCACAUUAGUGAGAAGAUCCCGCUAUCUCUCCUAUGAUAUAAGAUCUGCACGUUAGUGAAAAGACCCCGCUAUCUCUCCUAUUAUAUAAGAUCUGCACAUUAGUGAGAAGAUCCCGCUAUCUCUCCUAUGAUAUAAGAUCUGCACGUUAGUGAAAAGACCCCGCUAUCUCUCCUAUUAUAUAAGAUCUGCACGUUAGUGAAAAGACCCCGCUAUCUCUCCUAUUGUAUAAUAUCUGCGCAUUAGUGAGAAGAUCUCCCUAUCUCUCCUAUAAGAUCUGCACAUUACUGAGAAGAUCCCGCUAUCUCUCCUAUGAUAUAAGAUCUGCACAUUAGUGAGAAGAUCCCGCUAUCUCUCCUAUGAUAUAAGAUCUGCACAUUAGUGAGAAGAUCCCACUAUCUCUCCUUUGAUAUAAGAUCUGCACAUUAGUGAGAAGAUCCGCUAUCUCUCCUAUGAUAUAAGAUCUGCACAUUAGUGAGAAGAUCCCGCUAUCUCUCUUAUGAUAUAAGAUAUGCACAUUAGUGAGAAGAUCUCGCUAUCUCUCCUAUGAUAUAAGAUCUGCACAUUAGUGAGAAGAUCCCGCUAUCUCUCCUAUGAUAUAAGAUCUGCACAUUAGUGAGAAGAUCCCGCUAUCUCUACUAUGAUAUAAGAUCUGCACAUUAGUGAGAAGAUCCCGCUAUCUCUCCCAUGAUAUAAGAUCUGCACAUUAGUGAGAAGAUCUCGCUAUCUCUCCCAUGAUAUAAGAUCUGCACAUUAGUGAGAAGAUCCCGCUAUCUCUCCUAUGAUAUAAGAUCUGCACAUUAGUGAGAAGAUCCCACUAUCUCUCCUAUGAUAUAAGAUCUGCACAUUAGUGAGAAGAUCCGCUAUCUCUCCUAUGAUAUAAGAUCUGCACAUUAGUGAGAAGAUCCGCUAUCUCUCCUAUGAUAUAAGAUCUGCACAUUAGUGAGAAGAUCUCGCUAUCUCUCCUAUGAUAUAAGAUCUGCACAUUAGUGAGAAGAUCCCGCUAUCUCUCCUAUUAUAUAAGAUCUGCACAUUAGUGAGAAGAUCCCGCUAUCUCUCCUAUGACAUAAGAUCUGCACAUUAGUGAGAAGAUCCCGCUAUCUCUCCUAUUAUAUAAGAUCUGCACAUUAGUGAGAAGAUCCCGCUAUCUCUCCCAUGAUAUAAGAUCUGCACAUUAGUGAGAAGAUCCCGCUAUCUCUCCUAUGAUAUAAGAUCUGCACAUUAGUGAGAAGAACCAGCUCUCUCCCAUGAUAUAAGAUCUGCACAUUAGUGAGAAGAUCCCGCUAUCUCUCCUAUGACAUAAGAUCUGCACAUUAGUGAGAAGAUCCCGCUAUCUCUCCUAUGAUAUAAGAUCUCGCUAUCUCUCCCAUGAUAUAAGAUCUGCACAUUAGUGAGAAGAUCCCGCUAUCUCUCCCAUGAUAUAAGAUCUGCACAUUAGUGAGAAGAUCUCGCUAUCUCUCCCAUGAUAUAAGAUCUGCACAUUAGUGAGAAGAUCCCGCUAUCUCUCCCAUGAUAUAAGAUCUGCACAUUAGUGAGAAGAUCUCGCUAUCUCUCCCAUGAUAUAAGAUCUGCACAUUAGUGAGAAGAUCCCGCUAUCUCUCCUAUGAUAUAAGAUCUGCACAUUAGUGAAAAGACCCCGCUAUCUCUCCUAUUAUAUAAGAUCUGCACAUUAGUGAGAAGAUCCCGCUAUCUCUCCUAUAAUAUAAUAUCUGCGCAUUAGUGAGAAGAUCUCGCUAUCUCUCCUAUGAUAUAAGAUCUGCACAUUAGUGAGAAGAUCCCGCUAUCUCUCCUAUGAUAUAAGAUCUGCACAUUAGUGAGAAGAUCCCGCUAUCUCUCUAUGAUAUAAGAUCUGCACAUUAGUGAGAAGAUCCCGCUAUCUCUCCUAUGAUAUAAGAUCUGCACAUUAGUGAGAAGAUCCCGCUAUCUCUCCUAUGACAUAAGAUCUGCACAUUAGUGAGAAGAUCCCGCUAUCUCUCCUAUAAUAUAAUAUCUGCGCAUUAGUGAGAAGAUCUCGCUAUCUCUCCUAUGAUAUAAGAUCUGCACAUUAGUGAGAAGAUCUCGCUAUCUCUCCUAUGAUAUAAGAUCUGCACAUUAGUGAGAAGAUCUCGCUAUCUCUCCUAUGACAUAAGAUCUGCACAUUAGUGAGAAGAUCCUGCUAUCUCUCCUAUGAUAUAAGAUCUGCACAUUAGUGAGAAGAUCCCGCUAUCUCUCCUAUGACAUAAGAUCUGCACAUUAGGGAGAAGAUCCCGCUAUCUCUCCUAUGAUAUAAGAUCUGCACAUUAGUGAGAAGAUCUCGCUAUCUCUCCUAUGACAUAAGAACUGCACAUUAGUGAGAAGAUCACUCUGUCUAACCUAAAGUCCGGGGUUUUUAAGUAUUCACAAUAUUUAGGAUUUAAUGCAUAGUAAACUUUUGCGUUUGUAAAACGUCUUGGGAACAUAUGAUAUUAUAGAUCAUACAGCCAACUGUGAGUUCUGUAGUUUGAGUUCAGGGCUAAUAUGUAAAUUCAUCUCUACGGAGGUGCCUGUAAUAUAUUGGCUGAGCGUCUAUAACAAGACUGAUAUAAAUAAAGAUACAGACCUUUCCCUUCAGAUGCUUCGGGUGCUAAGACUGGUUCGGGGUCUUCCUCUGCUUGCCUUUUGGCUAUUGGCCCCUUAAAGAGCAUGCAUGUAUUGAAGGGUAGCAGGGUGGCGCACAGUAGGAGCAGCACUCUAACUUUCAUUGUGACAUUACAAGUGUCACCAAAAGAGAGUCUGUCCUGACCUGUGUGUUUGUUGAUCGUCUCUGCACUUAAUAUUUUAUAUAUUGUUUGCUGAUUAUUGUCCAGUGAACCUGCAGCCUACCGCUCUAUUUCAACUUUGUUAAGUCUUUCUGUUACUUUCUGGCUGCUUAGUAUCUGACAUCAGAAUGAGCUUAUGACAUCAUAGUCACUUUACUCUCAUCCUUCCUCACCUGUUGUGAACUAGAUGAGAUGAAUUGUACAAGUGGGCCACCGGUGGCUGGUUUUAUUAGUUUAUUAACAUUUGAAGAACAGUUCUCUGCUAAAUCAGUAUUUUCUUACAAUACAUGUAAUUAACUCCUUCAUUGCCAGAUAUCUUCCUGUAUGUCACAGGCAAACAUACACCCUGUUCUAAAUUAUAAUGCAAAUUCUAUUUAAGUGUCACAAAGAUUAAAUAUUUUGUUUUUCAAUUUAACUCAUGGAUGGCAUUGUGUCUCAGGGCUCUUUUGAUUACUGAAAACAAUCUCUGACACCUGUGAUAAUUAGAUUGCCAGAUGAGCCCAAUUUAAGGAAAAACUACUAAAGGAGGGUGUUCCACAUUAUUAAGCAGAGCACCAUUUUCAUGCAAUAUAGGGAAGAAAAAGGAUCUCUCUGCUGCCAAAUAGAGUGAAAUAGUUCAAUGCCUUGGAUGAGGUAUGAAAACAUUAGAUAUUUCACGAAAACUUAAGCGUGAUCAUCGCACUAUUGAGAGAUUUGUGGCUGAUUCAGAGCACAGACGUGUUCGUGCAGAUAAAGGCACAUUGAGGAAGAUUUCUGCCAGAUCCAUGCAUCUGAUCUAGAGAGCAGCUGCUAAAAUACCAUUACAUAGCAGCAAACAGAUAUUUGAAGCUAAAAGAAUAUUUUCCACUAGAUCAGCAGUAAUAGGAAUCCAGGAGCUAGCAAAUAAAUAAAUUCUAAAGGAAUGUUAAUAAAAAUGGAGAUACAAAUAAAUAUAUAAAAUUAAAAUUAAAAUUAAAAUAGAAUAAAAUAAGAAUUAUUGCCAAAUAAAAAAGUGUUUGUAGAUAUGUGUGGCAGGAUUGUUAACCCAGGUGGUGAGAAUCUCUGGGUAACAACAAUCUAUGCCAAUUAAUAUUCUUUCAUACACAAUAUGAUUUAGAAAGAUAAACAGGCAUGGUUCCCUCAAAAUAUGUAGCCUGCCUUUAAAAAAUACCAUAUAUAUUAUGGGUCUGUAAUAGUAAGCAAACACCAGAAUAUAGAAAACUGGCUGCUCAAAGCAAUGUAACAAAAGAUAGCUUGGUCGCUAGAAAGUAAUAAAGUAUCAGAAUUAAUUUAUUGAAAAAGUAUAAAAAUAUAUUAAAAAAUGUGUCCACAAUUAAGGCAAUGAGUGAUAAAAGGUAAAAUUAGUACAGAGACCUUUAAUGCCGGCACGGAUGGAUGUGGAUGGUGAUUCCUCGUACAGUAUUGUGAUGCUGGUAACCGGUGAGGUCGGUUUGCGUGUCACAGUGCGUUCCACCUCGAGCCUCACUUCGAGGGGAAUGACACUGCUCUCCAGAUCGUGCCGUUGGGAAGAAUGAACUCCAAACCGAUCGCCGGAUUGUUGUGCUCGUGUCCCUUCACCUUCACACUCUAUCGCUGUGUGGGCUCUCUCGAACUGGUCUGACGCGUUUCGUAGGGAUUAGCCCUACUUCGUCAGAGACAUCUGACUUCAACUCUCUAUAGAAGUGCUUAUAUACCUCUCCAUUAAUAAUUGUUUAAUUAAUGAGUACAUUGCAAUAAAUUAAAUAAAGUGGAAAAAAUAUAUAUAAUACAUAAUUUAAACAGUAUCAUAUGAAAAUAUACAUAAAUAUAUCUAAGUAUAGCUCUAGGCUUUAAUACAGUAAAAUGAAUAAAACAUUACAUGGAAUAGAUGUUAGUAAUAAUACUGAUUGACAUGGCAAUGAAAAUAGAAAAAAAUAGAAAAAAAUAUAAAUAAAUAAAUUACAAAAUGAAUAAAUGAAAAAUCCUGAUCAUGCUUUAUUAAUACAUUGCUCUUUAGUUCAUAUUGACUCUACUGAGGCUGUAAUUAUCACUUCGCCUUCUAAUACAUAUCACUUGUUUCCUGGGAACAACCUGAACAUUUUUGUUAAUAUCGAACUCAUAACAUUAUGUAACAAAAUGUGACAUUUUGUUUGCAUAGUGAUACUUUAAAUAUGGCAAAUGUUAAAUACAAAAGCUGUUUGUUCUCUAAGGCUCAUAUUGAAAAAAAUGGGAAUAAAAACUGCUCUGUUUGUCUUGAUGAGAUUCCUGUAACGAGACAUAGAUGUUAGUAGGCAGAUUGAGCCACAUUAUGUUUAUCAUAAACAUGUAUUCAUUUUUUUAUUUUUAUUUUUUUUAUUUAGAUUUUGUAGAUAUUAAAUAUAUAUGUAUGUAAAUUUUUAAUAAUUCUUGGUAUACUGCACAGUUAUGUUCUUUAUGUUCUUUAUCUAUAUUCUGCUAUUCUUUCCAAUUGUAUGCAUACUUUGAGUAUAUACAGUCCUCAUAUAGAAGCCAUGACCUGCCAUUUGCAGGACCAUUUUUGAUUAUUCAAUGUUCAAUACAUCGAUAACAAAUGAAUACAUGUUUAUGAUAAACAUAAUGUGGCUCAAUCUGCCUACUAACAUCUGUACUAAUUUUACCUUUUAUCACUCAUUGCCUUAAUUGUGGACACAUUUUUUAAUAUAUUUUUAUACUUUUUCAAUAAAUUAAUUCUGAUACUUUAUUACUCUCUAGCGACCAAGCUAUCUUUUGUUACAUUGCUUUGAGCAGCCAGUUUUCUAUAUUCUGGUGUUUGCUUACUAUUACAGACCCAUAAUAUAUAUGGUAUUUUUUAAAGGCAGGCUACAUAUUUUGAGGGAACCAUGCCUGUUUAUCUUUCUAAAUCAUAUUGUGUAUGAAAGUAUAUUAAUUGGCAUAGAUUGUUGUUACCCAGAGAUUCUCACCACCUGGGUUAACAAUCCUGCCACACAUAUCUACAAACACUUUUUUAUUUGUCAAUUAUUCUUAUUUUAUUCUAUUUUUAUUUUUAUUUUAUUUAUUUAUUUGUAUCUCCAUUUUUAUUAACAUUCCUUUAGAAUUUAUUUAUUUGCUAGCUCCUGGAUUCCUAUUACUGCUGAUCUAGUGGAAAAUAUUCUUUUAACAUUGUCUAGUAGGUUUUUGGUGGAUCCCUAUUUUUAUCCAGUUUUAGAGCUAUAUGUUUUAGGUCUAUUUCUCCCUCUACUUCUUUGUAUAUUUUAUACAAGAAUUAAUCUUACUUACAGAUAUUUGAAGCUGCUGGUGCUUCUGGAGUCCCACGGACAUCAAGGUGUAGAGUCCUCCAGAGUCUCGCAAAUGUGCAUAAACCUUCUAUUCGGCCACCACAACCAAUGCUCACAAGCAGAAACGGCUGCAUUGGGCAGAAAAAUACAUGAAGACUAAUUUUCAAACAGUCCUGUUCACUGAUGGUCCAGAUGGAUGGAGUAGUGGAUGGUUGGUGGACGGCCACCCUAUUCCAACAAGGCUGCGACGUCAGCAAGGCGGUGGUGGAGUCAUGUUUUGGGCUGGAAUCAUGGGAAGAGAGUUGGUCGGCCCCUUUAGGGUCCCCAAAGGUGUAAAGAUGACCUCUGCAAAGUAUGUGGAGUUUCUGACUGACCACUUUCUUCCCUGGUACAGAAGGGAGAACUAUGGUUUCCGUAAUAAAAUCAUCUUCAUGCAUGACAAUGCACCAUCUCAUGCUGCAAAGAAUACCUCUGCAUCAAUGGCAGCUGUGGGGAUAAAAGGAGAGAAAGUCAUGGUGUGGCCUCCAUCCUCCCCUGACCUCAAUCCUAUUGAG